UAAUGUUACAACUAGAUAAGUUCAUGGACGGUUGUUAAAAUUUAUCCGAGUAAUGUAUCAGCUUCUUCAAUUGGUUAAAAUUAUGAAACUGGGAUCUCUUUCCUAUUGCAUUACUAGUAUGAAUUGUGUGUCAUGCUUGCAAGUUGGUAGUAUCACUCUAGCUUCUCUCUUUCAUUUCACUAUGUGUUGUAAGACAUUUUCCUUUUAAUGUUACUUGUUUUUGUUGUGUUAAUUAUUUCAGUGAUUAUUAUAUUGAUCCUCAAAAGUUGGUGGCUAAGAGGGGAAUUGGUAAUAGUUUAAUGGGGAUGUUUUAAUAAUUUCUUUAGCUUUAUAUCUCACAUUUGGCUUUUUAGGUGAGGCUUUCUGUCUGAUAGCAUUUGCAGCAGUAGAGUGGUAGGUGAGAUUACACCUUGCAGUGUUAGUGAUAAUUUAAGUCAAUUGACUUACGCAAUUGGUACCAAAAUAUUUUCCCACUGCUUGUAAGAUAUAUGACAAUGUAUCUCUACUUUUACUGAAGUUGGACCCCUUUGUUUUUUUGUGUAGCUUUUCUCACUUGUCAUCUAUGGAGAAUUUACAAGUGUUCUUUCUCAGGGAGAGAGAUUUUUCUUGGUUGUUAUUUCUUACGAAUUUCCUAUUUAAUACUUUUUGGGUUCAGUCAGUGCUUGGAGAUGAUAGGAUCAAAACAAUCCAUCUUCUUGCUUCCCUAUCUAAUGUCUCUAUCCAGUAUCCACUCAUGGUCAAUAUUCUCCGUUUGGGAAACUGUCUUUAAUGUUGUCCACUUCAUCUUGUACAAGCAUUCUGAUAUGAUGUUGCUGUUGAUAACCUUGUUCAUUUGUGAAAGGGCAUGUAUUGAUUUACAAUUUUGGUGUCUUGACCUCCUAAAAUGUAAGGCUUAAAAUUCAUUGUACCACUAAUUUGAAUGGUUAUUGGUGAGUGGUAAACAUUUUUUGAAUUAUUAAUAUAAUCUGUAUUAAGACCAUAAAUAAAUAUGAUUGCUUUCAUAAUCCUUUCACAUAAACCUGUGCACAAUCACGCGCAUGAAACUAAUCCAUUUAGCAUUUAGAAUAUAGAAUUUAUGAUGAUGAAUGCAAUUCCUUUCAAAUUUGUUGAAACAUAAUGCAUAACCAUAUGGAAAGGGGAUUUUUUCACUUUCUGUUUGCAUAGAGUAGUUAAGCCAUCACUUUUGCUCAUUGAGAUGCUUUUCCUUGAUGCAGAUUGUGGCUUUCUCCUUGAUUUGACUACGGGACAUAAUUAAAGUUUGAAGGGAUAUUGUUAUGGGUCAUAGACAUUUAUUCAGCACAUCCCAAAUUUUCGAGAAUGAACAGGAUCAGAAUUGGAAUCAUAUGCAUAUAGAGCAACCUUAUACAAAUUUGGCACUAGAGGAAACAAUUGAAGCACACGAACUGAACUUGUAAAACUAGGAGCUGCCUUAAUUCCUUUUCGGGGUGCCUUAGAGCUACUUAGCUCUGAUGAUGCGGUUGUAGCUAGAUCUGCAUGUCUCUCAUGAGAGUUUGACAACUAAGUUUAACUUUAGUUUUGAUGGAUUUAUGUUGCAGCCAGGGCCAGUCCUGCAGAGAAUGGUGCUUUCUUUUAUCCUGCAGAAAAUAUGCCUCUUGAAGGAGUGCAUUUUACUUCUCUACGGAACCCUGCACCAAUGUCAAAUGCAUAUAUUUCCUCAAGUAACAGUGUUGAAGUAUCACAUUAUCAACCAGAUGUUUCGGGCCCUUCUCAUGAUCCUUUUCAGCAUUCAUCAACAGAUGGAUCCUUUUGCACAGUUCCAGAAAAUCAUGCACACCAUGCUUCUUCUUCCAAUUAUGACAGACAGACAUUUCAUAGUGUUGAGGGUGGCCUUGUUGACCUUACCAUGGGCAACGGAAGAGGGCCCCACAAGCGAAAAAGCCCUGUAGUCCCUUCUGCAUGUGAAGGGGGCAGUACAAGCAGAUAUUAUGGUGCUGGAAGUUCAUCAGAUACCCCUCUGUCUUGUGAGUUGCAGCAGGAGAAACCAAAUUUAGAUACUCAAUAUAUGGCCUGGGAAUGCAUUAAUAUGACUCCUGGCCAUCGAGGCAAUCUCUCAAUUAGGCCCGAGGAUUCUAUCAGGAAUGUGAGAAGCAGGCCUGCACUUGAUCUGGAAACCAACCUGGCUAGGACCCAUUUAUCUAGCAACUCUUCCCACAAUUCCUAUCCUGCAGGCCACCCAUUUGACCAUUCUAGCUCACUGGAUUUCUCAGGUCAAAGUUCUAGUGCUAUGACACAUGACUGGAGCCAUACUGGAGUGUCUGUUGCUUCUGGAAGGAUGCUAGUUGCAGAUGUUAACGGUUAUAGUCAUGAGACAAACCAUUUCCUUGUUGGAAGCAGCAUAACUAAUGCUUCAGCAGAUGUUAGGGGAUAUCAUCAUGAUUUCAUUUCAAGUAGAAACCCUGUUGCUCCUCAGAGUUUCCAUAGUGCCUCAGCACAUUCUGUAAGAGGCAUUCGCGGUAGCUUUUCUCAGAGACCUAGCCCAACUUUCAGGGCUUCCACCAGCAGUUUGCGCUUGGGGCAUUUGGCACCUUCUGAUGAUGGAAUGCCAUUGGUUGCUGAAAAUUUAUCUUCCAGACAACCAAGGCUAUUAUCCACUGUAGCUUGGCGUAAUAGUGAUAGGAAUGGGAGAUCA
rnacentral:misc_RNA from 1 species